AAUCAUGGAACUUUGAAGUGUCAGGCAUAGCCCUAUUGGCUUUAGCCCAAACGUAGCAGAGUUUUCCUGCACAGCGAGGAAGCUAGUUGCGGAGGUAAUGACUAGUCAGCUAGACUCAGAAUAACUAUUUACAGGAUUUAUUAAAAGGAAAAAAAAAAUAAAACCAGCAGAGUUUCUGCAUACAAAACAAAGCAAAUAAAUCCUUUCUUUCUCUCUCUCUCUCAUAACCAUACACAGCACUUCUAACUCCUUCUCCUAACACACCUCACCCCAAACUGUGCUAGCAUUCCUAGAUAACAGAGUUGAGUGCUGGUCGUUAACCAAUCAGAGUAAGUAGUUUCUAGGUCAAGCAGACCUUGGCUUUCUGCCAAGAGUAAAUUGACACUGCCUUGAGUUAAUUGUGUGAAGCCAGAAUCUGCAAGUUUCCCAUGAGAAUCAAUUAACAGAAACUGAACACCCCCUCACAGAUUCUGCUGGACAAUUAACAUCAAAAACACCUAUGUAGGAGAUUAUUUUUCCAGCAAACCUAAACCCUUGCACAUUUGCUUGUUCUUUAUCUUUGCCAAUGGUUUAGUUAAUACAUCUGCUACAUUUUCUUCACUUGAUACAUAAGUACAUGUGAUUAUAUUGUCUUGUACACAGCAACGUACAUUUUGGUAUUUUACAGAGAUAUGUUUGGAACGUGAUUUGAAACCCUCUGUUUUACUUAAGGUUAUACAAGCUUGAUUAUCAAUGUAAACUCGUACUGGUUCUCCACAAUUUACAUUUAAAUCUGCUAACAAAUGCUUGAAAUAAAUCACCUCGUUGCACAAUUCACUCAGUGCGGCGUACUCUGAUUCCGUUGAUGACACACUUACAACGUCUUGCUUGCGUGACCGCCAGCUGAUUAAAGCUCCACCGACCAUUAUGACUAGUCCUGUGACAGAUUUUCUAUCUGGCAAAUUUCCCCAGUCACUAUCACAGUAGCAACUCAACAUUUCGUCCUCGGAAGAAUUUAAUUGUAACAUAUAGCCAAUUGUCUGUUUGAGGUAUCUCAGAACUUGUUUUACUCCUUUCCAGGCAUUUAGUGUGGGUUUUGAGACCAAUCUACUUAAUAUGCCUACUGCGUAGCUAAUAUCAGGUCUGGACCACUGUGCUAGAUACAAUAAACUUCCAAUUACAGAGUGAUAUACAUCAGGAUGUUCAAAUUCAGGACUCUCAUCUAUAUGAAGUGUUUUUAUGAAACCUGGAUCCAUAGGCACCGCUGCCCCUUUGCAAUCCUGCAUCCUGUAUGUAGUCAGUAGUUGUUUAACUUUGUUCUGCUGACUAAUUAGGCAGCUGCCAUCUUGGGCCCAGCACACUUCCAACCCUAGAUAUGUCCUAACCGGGCCUAAGUCUUUCACUUUGAACUUACUGGACAAUUGCUUGGCAAACCUUUUAGUUUGUUUAUCUGUUUUACAGGCAUACAAUACAUCAUCUACAUAAAUCAGACAAAACUCUUGAUCACUGCCUGUACCACGUACAUAAACACAAUUGUCAGCUGUACUCUGCUUGAAACCAAAUGACACUAAGGCCUCAUGGAAACACUUGUUCCAAGAUCUUGCAGCCUGUUUGAGACCAUAUAGAGCUUUGUUUAAUUUUAACACUCUAUUGGAACCUGUCUCAUAACCAGGCGGUUCGGCUAGAUACAGGUCUUCUGAUAUUGAUGCAUGUAAAUAUGCAGUCUGGAUAUCAAAAUGGUUUAACAGGAGUUUUCUCUUUGCUCCAAGCGUUAAAAUCAGCCUUACACUGUCCCCCUUAGCAGUAGGGGAACAAGUUUCAUCAUAAUCUUUUCCAGGCCUCUGAGAAUAUCCUUGAGCCACUAAACGAGCUUUGUAUUUGUACUUUCCUGUCACCAGAGGUUUAAGUUUGUACACCCACCUGCAGCCUACAAUCUUUGCCCCCUCAGGCGCUGCUACUGGUGUAAAAACCUUGUGCUCAUUCAGAGAGGACAUCUCUUCCUCCAUUGCCUGUUUCCAGAGCUCUGCCUCCUCUUUUGGUAACUUUAACACCUCCUGAAAACUCUUGGGUUCUGCAAUUACACUAAACACAUUUGCAGUAUCUGGAGAAAAACGCACCGGAGGCACUCCUUUGUUUUGUCUUUUAGAUCUUCUGGGAGAAAAUUUUUCUUCUGACCCACUUUCCUCCUCAGAACUACGACCUCUCUUUUGUUGCUUAGCAACUGGUCUCUGGCUAACUCCACUUUCUUGAGAGCUCUUAUCUGAACUUUCCUCCCCUCAGACUCUGAUUCUCUGUGUCUACCUUCAGAGUCAUGGAGCUCCUGGGAAGGUUCAAACCAAACCUCAGUAUUGGCAUGUAGUCUCUCCCAGCCACUAUGUUCACAAAAACUGGCAUUCCUGGAGAUCACAAUGCCAUUUGUCCCUUCAGCAAAGCGGAAACCUUUUCCCAGCUCCUGGUAACCCACAAACACUAACUGUUUGGUCUUAGGAUCUCCCUUCUUUCUCAUUUGUUUCGGAAUUAAUACCCAGGCUUUUGAUCCAAACACAUGCAAAUGGUCAAUUUUAGGUUUUUUCUGAAACAAUUUAAAGUACGGGGUUGUACCUAUUGUUUGAUGAAAGAGCCUAUUUUGGAGAUAACACGCGGUGAGCAUACUCUCCCCCCAAUAAGACAUGGGCAAAUCAGCAUCAUCAAGCAUGGCAAACAUCAUAUCUUGUAAAGAUCUGUUUUUUCGCUCUGCAACGCCAUUCUCCUCUGGGGAAAAAACGUUCGUUUUCCUAUGCCCAAUGCCACGCUUUUGUAACCAAUCUCUAAAGGCAUUUGACAUAAAUUCGCCACCUCU
rnacentral:lncRNA from 1 species